CCUCCGACGUCGUCGUCGUCGUCGUCUUCUUCUUCUUCAACUCCGGCGGCCGGUUUUUCCUAGCUGCGUGCAUGCCCGUGGUGUGCUGCUAGCGAUCUGCUCCUCCGUCACCGUCCCCUCCCGUGCGAUCGAUAGUCGGACGUGCAAAUCCUCUGGUGGCGAGAGAAAAACAUUUGAUAUUCUGUAAAGGUACAACAGAUAAGAAAUGUCCACUCAAGAUGAUACAUAUCGCACUCUGGAAUGCAUGCUAUGUGACAAAAAAGGAAAGCCAUUGAGUCUUAAGCAACACUUCUUGGAAAGAAUAACAAACAACUUCUCCGAGGACAACCUUGUUGGCCGUGGAGGAUAUGGAGAAGUUUACAAGGGAGUGCUUGAAGAUGGCUUUGUUGCCGUCAAGAAGUUAUACUCGUAUAUUGCAAUUGAAGACGAACCAUUUCAUCGUGAGGUUGAUUGUCUAAUGAAUAUUAGGCACCACAACAUAGUCUUGUUUGUUGGUUACUGUGCUGAAACACAGGAAGUGGUUGUGCGUCAAGAAGGGAAACAUAUUUUUGCGGAAAAACGAGAAAGAUUACUUUGCUUCGAGUAUUUGCAUAAUGGAAGCCUUCACAAGCAUCUGACAGCCGAACCAUGUGGGCUUCCAUGGCACAUUUGUUACCAAAUAAUAAAAGGGAUUUGCCUGGGCUUGCACUACCUACAUGACAAGAACAUAAUUCAUCUAGAUCUGAAACCGGACAAUAUAUUGCUUGAUGAUGACAUGGUGCCCAAAAUCACGGACUUCGGUUUGUCAAGACUCUUGGGUAAUGGAAAAAGCCACACCAUUACACAAACAAGAAUAGGAACAUGGGGUUACAUGGCACCCGAGUACUUGGAUGAUGGAGUGAUCACAAUGAAGACAGACAUCUAUAGCUUGGGUGUGAUAAUCAGACACAUGGUGAAGGGACGUAACUCGGCAGACACCACUGAUGAAGAACCAGGUACUGGCAAACUGGUUGAUUAGGCUGGAAAAGGAUCCAUCACAGAUGAUGAGGCAGCAGACGACCCGAUUAUUAUUUGAAACAGAGUACAAAGAGCAAAUAAAAGCGUGCAUGGAUAUAUCAUGGAGGUGCACGCUGCGUAAACCAAUGGACAGGCCAACGACGCAGCACAUCCUACUUACACUGGAGGAAACAGAAGCAAAGAUCAAAUCGGUCGUUGGGCCUACUCCACCAAAUGCCGGGCAGCUUCAGAUUGCCAAAUUUGGGCCGUGGGGUGGAGAUGGAGGGAAGACGCGAGACAUAAGAAUGACGCCUUGCCAUUUGCAUAGCGUAACAAUUAGCAGUGGAACUAUUAUCGAUUCUAUCGGGUUUUCAUUCACUGAUCACUAUGGUCAGCACCACACAACAGGGCCUUGGGGCGGUAAGGAGGGUACGAAUAAGGUGAGCAUCAAAGAAUAACACUUUCUGUACUUUAAAUAUAAAUAAUGUUAUUUAGACGUGUGCAACACAAACUUAAAUUUGCAUUUGUGAAUGUUAUCAUUGUUUAAGCUUGGGGGACUACAUCCAAAUACAUUCCAGCAUAGCAUGCACAUCCAAAUACGGGUAGCCAGCAUGAUGGUAUGUGACUAGCUCCAAAUUACUAAGAAAGAAUAACAUACCAUGAUAGUACUACUACAAUGGUAUAUCAUUCCCUAUUUUAUAAAGCAUGUCAUCUUUGGAGAACUUGCUAUGGAAUAAUGGUGGUAACAAUUGGACUCAUAUAUAUAUAUAUAUAUACAAUUAUAUAUAAAAGAAUAAGUAAACAAGGGGUUCUUGAAGACAUUCCUAAGUUACAAUUUGAAGUACUAAAAUUUGGUACUCGAGAUGCCGAUUUUCACAUGCUUCUUAUGCUUUAGUAACGGUAAUUAAAUCUUGAUUUCUCUCCAAGGCGGUAGGGCUCAAAGUCACUACCGUCUGACUGCUCAUGACUGUCUUUACAGGAGGAUAUUUGUAUGUGAAAUAGAAAUACUGUUUCUCUUUCUCUUUCUCUUUCUCUUGCAGAUUGAACUAGGCCCUUCGGAGUUUCUUACAGGAGUAUCUGGAACAAGCGGCCCAUUCAAAAAUCUAACAAAUGUUGUAACGUCACUUACGUUUGUCACCAAUACUCGUAGUUACGGACCCUUUGGAAAAGGGCGAGGAACACCGUUCCACAUCCAAACGCAGAACAACGGCAGGAUCGUUGGCUUCUUUGGCCGUUCUGGCCAGUAUCUCUAUGCGAUUGGGGUCUACACGAACCAAGAUGCUAGGGUCGCAAGGAUCGGGCGACCUUUGGGUGGAGAUGAAGGGGUUCUUCAUGGCAUCACAGACCUCAGUGGGCAGCAGCGCAGCAGAGGUGGAGGUCCAUCGGGAGAAUGUGGAGACAGCGACGACGAGCCCAACGGUGAUUUCGCCAAAUUCGGCCCGUGGGGCGGCGACGGAGGACAGCCGCAGGACAUCGGAACACUACCCUGCCGUCUAGACAGGAUCAAGAUCAGCAGUGGGCUUAUCAUCGACUCGAUCGAGUUCUCGUACGCUGGCCCUGACAGCCAGUACCGCACCGCAGGCCCUUGGGGUGGUCAUGGAGGAGACAACAGCUCUUUUCAGCUAGCUGGUUCAGAGUUCCUUACAGGUGUGUCUGGGUCAAUCGGCACAUUCAACGGCCAUGCAAACGUCAUAACGUCUCUGACGUUCGUCACCAACGCUCGUAGCUACGGGCCGUUUGGAAGAGGGCGAGGCACAUCCUUCCACAUCCCAGUGCAGGGCAAUGGCUGCAUCGUCGGUUUCUUUGGGCGCUCCGGACGGUACCUCAACGCGAUCGGUGUCUACACGGCGCCGAAACCCGAACCAAAAGCAGGUGGUGAUGAGGCCGUCGUCGCCAGGAUUGGGCCUUGGGGCGGGGUUGGAAAUGCUCUCCAUGACAUCGCAGAGAGGCCGCAUCGCCUGCACAGAGUGACGAUCUUCAGCGGGACGAUCGUAAACUCGCUGGAGUAUCUGUACAGCGAUGGCGACGGGCAGCAGCACACCACCGGUCCGUGGGGCGGCUGCGGAGGAACUGGUCGAAAGAUUCAUCUUGCCCCUGAAGAGUUCAUAGUGGAAGUUACUGGGACAUUCCAUCCAUGCGCGUGGGACAGAACAAUACCCAGUGUCGUGUCCUCUCUGACGCUCGUGACCAGCACGGGCAAAACACACGGGCCUUUCGGAACGCAGCUGGGAGCCGCGUUCCAGGUUCCGGUGCAGAGCGACAGCAGGAUCGUUGGCUUCUUCGCCCACGGAGACAAUUACAUCGAAGCAAUUGGCGCCUACGUGAAGAAAUUGACAGAAUCCAGCAACCGUUAACUCUUGGAACAACUUGCAGCUGUUCACACUGUUUCUUGGGCCAUUGCUCCUUAAAUUUAGUCCAGAUGGCCAAGGAGCAACCAAACAGAAAUCGCUAUGGCAGGGAAGAUGGACUAAACUGGACUGUGGCACCUCCAGCAUAGCCUGCUCUUAGAUUAGUGACCAGACAUCAUCGAGAUAUUUCGAUAUUAUAAUAAAUGAGGAACCCAUCUCAGAUGUUUAUGUUAGCUCCUCAGUUUUUGCUUCUGAAUGAUUAAUUUAGAUCUUCCUUAUUUUUGCAAUAAAUGAGGAUUCUUUUCUGUCU